rnacentral:rRNA from 1 species
UACGAAGGGGGCUAGCGUUGCUCGGAAUCACUGGGCGUAAAGCGCACGUAGGCGGCUUUCUAAGUCAGGGGUGAAAUCCUGGAGCUCAACUCCAGAACUGCCUUUGAUACUGGAGAGCUUGAGUCCGGAAGAGGUGAGUGGAACUCCGAGUGUAGAGGUGAAAUUCGUAGAUAUUGGGAAGAACACCGGUGGCGAAGGCGGCGACCUGGUCCGUGACUGACGCUGAGGCGCGAAAGCGUGGGGAGCAAACAGG